CGGUGUUUAACUGGCGUGAUGUGGGACGUCCUACCGGUGGGCUUAGCCUCGCGAGGGGCGGCCCAACUAAUAUCCCGUCGCGGUGCUCUUUACUGAGUGCCGAGUCGGGCCGGUACGUUUACUUUGAACAAAUUAGAGUGCUUAAAGCAGGCUAUCCUCGCCUGAAUACUGCGUGCAUGGAAUAAUGGAAUAGGACCUCGGUUCUAUUUUGUUGGUUUUCGGAACCCCGAGGUAAUGAUUAAUAGGGACAGAUGGGGGCAUUCGUAUUGCGACGUUAGAGGUGAAAUUCUUGGAUCGUCGCAAGACGGACAGAAGCGAAAGCAUUUGCCAAAAAUGUUUUCAUUAAUCAAGAACGAAAGUUAGAGGUUCGAAGGCGAUCAGAUACCGCCCUAGUUCUAACCAUAAACGAUGCCAGCUAGCGAUCCGCCGAAGUUCCUCCGAUGACUCGGCGGGCAGCUUCCGGGAAACCAAAGCUUUUGGGUUCCGGGGGAAGUAUGGUUGCAAAGCUGAAACUUAAAGGAAUUGACGGAAGGGCACCACCAGGAGUGGAGCCUGCGGCUUAAUUUGACUCAACACGGGAAACCUCACCAGGCCCAGACACCGGAAGGAUUGACAGAUUGAUAGCUCUUUCUUGAUUCGGUGGGUGGUGGUGCAUGGCCGUUCUUAGUUGGUGGAGCGAUUUGUCUGGUUAAUUCCGAUAACGAACGAGACUCUAGCCUGCUAAAUAGGCGUACCUUAUGGUAUCGCGAAGGCCCCCGGCUUCGGCCGGUGGGUUUUUACUACCAACGUACAAACAAAUCUUCUUAGAGGGACAGGCGG
rnacentral:rRNA from 1 species